AGCGAACGCUGGCGGCAUGCCUAACACAUGCAAGUCGCACGGGGGGGCUUCGGCCUCCCAGUGGCGGACGGGUGAGGAACGCGUAGGGACCUGUCGAGGGGUGGGGGAUAACCGCGGGAAACUGCGGCUAAUACCGCAUGACGCCGCGGCGUGACAGCCGGGGCCAAAGGCGAAAGCCGCCCGCCGAGGGGCCUGCGUCCGAUUAGCUGGUUGGCGGGGUAGCGGCCCACCAAGGCGUCGAUCGGUAGCUGGUCUGAGAGGGUGAUCAGCCACACCGGGACUGAGGCACGGCCCGGACUCCUACGGGAGGCAGCAGUGGGGAAUAUUGGACAAUGGGCGCAAGCCUGAUCCAGCAAUGCCGCGUGGGUGAAGAAGGUCUUCGGAUUGUAAAGCCCUUUCGGCGGGGACGAUGGUGACGGUACCCGCAGAAGAAGCCCCGGCUAACUUCGUG
rnacentral:rRNA from 1 species